UUUUGCCUACGGGACGCAGCAGUGGGGGAUAUUGCACAAUGGGGGAAACCCUGAUGCAGCGACGCCGCGUGAGUGAAGAAGUAUUUCGGUAUGUAAAGCUCUAUCAGCAGGGAAGAAAAAAGACGGUACCUGACUAAGAAGCCCCGGCUAACUACGUGCCAGCAGCCGCGGUAAUACGUAGGGGGCAAGCGUUAUCCGGAUUUACUGGGUGUAAAGGGCGCGUAGACGGCAAUACACGU
rnacentral:rRNA from 1 species